rnacentral:lncRNA from 1 species
GUACAGAGAAUUUUCUCCUGCUCAUCCCUUGUCUGAUCAAUCCAGAAUAAUUGCUGGGCGGACAGAAGGCGACUAACUUGCAUGAGGUUCUUCCUAAUCGUUAAUUCAGAUUACCCUCUUCUCCACACCCUACUGCACUGUCUGGAGUUCUAGCCAUUUGUCGAGUGUGUGCGCUUGUGUGUGCGUGUCCUUGGUCCACAGUCUUUGGGUUAGAGCCACAGACGCCUCACUAACGGGUCCCUGCAGAGCCGAGAGCUCUGAGCACGUGGCCACUGAGCCCCCUGGGAAGGGAGGAGGUUCUCUUUCCCACACACGUCUCCUCGUAGCGGUGAGCACAGCUCAGUGCUGAGUGCAGCCAGAGGCUUGCUUUCCCUUCUCGCCCUAAGAUGUAAAAACAAGACCUUGGUCUGUCGGACCGGGACCGGCAGUGGCUGGGCUUCCCACUCUGGAGUCUGGAGAAGGAAGGUUGUAUUACGAGGGAAGCUGCUGGUUGGAUGAGCAGAGAACUCAGUGAACGGGAAAGUGAAGAGAUGUUUCUCAGGACCUAAACCAGAAAGUCUCCACUCUGACGGCAGAGUCGAGAAUGUUCCUCUUAGAGGCCCCUGCUGCUUUUCAAAUCCCGGAGAAGGCACCGUGACGUCAUGAAAACCACCAAUUGAAUGAGUUUCUUAGGUGCCUGUCUUUUAGGGCGCGGGGCUUGCAACCAGCCCCCAGGUCACUGCCCCACCCUGCCAGAGGCCCUGCAAGCUUGGCCAGGGACAGUCACCCCAGUUUGUUCUUCUGGGCCCUCCUUGCCUCAUAGGGGUUUCUCACAGACUGUGCUUCAUCGGUUGUGAGAUCUUUUCUCCGAGUAACUAAGGGAAGGAUUUUCGUUCCCACCGUCCACAUCAAUAGAUAUCCCCCACACGGACCACAAGGUGAGGAGACCCCCGCUGCACCAGCCUCUUUAUCGAAGAAUAACCUUGGUGCUUCUUGCUGGAAGAUGCUGCCCGUGAGGAACCGGAGACUAAGUAUGAACAGGUUUUUCCCUAUUGACAGAACUGUCCAUGCACGUUUGUUAGUUCAGCACUUAAGAUGAUCCAGGGUCUAAAAUUCCACCCUUUUAAAACAUUUUUGUUUUCAAAUAUUUAUUUCAGCCUUACUGAGAAGAAUCAAGAAAGAGCAUUCCCAUUUGGUUGUUUACAGAGCAGAGUUUCUCAAAGUUGGCACUAUUGACAUCCUGGGCCGGAUCAUUCUUUGUUGUGGGGGGCUGUUGUAUGUGUGUGUGUGGGGUGCUGUAUUGUAGGAAGUUUAGCAGCAUCCCUGCCUCCACUCACUAGAUGCCAGUAGCACCCCACCCCUUGGCCCGUCAUGACAACUAAAAAUGUCUCCAGGCGUUGCCAAAUGUCUCCUGGGGGGCAAAAUCACCCCCAAUUGAGGACUACUGCUGUAGAACAAUUUUAUUCAAACAACAAACAUGGAUGGAACAUGUGUGUGAUAACUCCAUAUUUAAACAUCUUACCCGAACCAGGAGUUAGAGGGCUAAAACCAUGACUAAGACAUCAUCCUGGUUCUCUAGGAGCUUGCAGUGUGGAACUAGAGAUGUCCCACAAGUGACUGGACAGAGGAUAGAAGGGAGAGUCCAGCCGAGGAAGGAAGGGCCAUCGGCUCUUGUCCCUCUGACUGUCUUGUC